rnacentral:rRNA from 1 species
CAGUCGCCGCGGGAAAACGUAGGCAGCAAGCGUUGUUCGGAGUUACUGGGCGUAAAGGGUGCGUAGGCGGCUUUUUAAGUUUGGUGUGAAAUCUCCCGGCUCAACCGGGAGGGUGCGCCGAAUACUGAGAGGCUAGAGUGCGGGAGAGGAAAGUGGAAUUCCUGGUGUAGCGGUGAAAUGCGUAGAUAUCAGGAGGAACACCGGUGGUGUAAACGGCUUUCUGGACCGUAACUGACGCUGAGGCACGAAAGCGUGGGUAGCAAACAGGAUUAGAUACCCCCGUAGUCCCUGUCUCUUAUAA